UAGAACCCUCCCUGUAAAUACUAUUGCUGACUCGUCGCCGCGUGGGUGUGGCAUGGGAGCUCCGCCGUGGAUCUUGACCUCCGUAGACGCUUGGAACACAAAGACUGGUCGCGUAGCUUCAUCAAGCCCUGGGGUCGUUCGUGUAUCUGUGCCUUGGGGAGAUUGCGACUGGAGGACCCGUGAUUUCUCGAUGGUGUUUCUCUGCCGCCGCAGAACCGACCUUCAUCGUGGGUGGCGGAAUUUUGUUGUGCGACAUCACGUAAGAGGUCCCCAAAUUACCUCACUGCGUUAUCCGCAUCAUGUAGAGCUUUUCUAUUCGAGAUUUGGGGCAGGAGAGAUCCGAGAUGCUGUUCGUAGUGUCUCAUGGCGUCGCCGCCGGGGGCGCGUGAGCGCGGCCAUGGCUGGGCGCCGUGGAGAGGUGCGCCUCAGCCGUUGAUCCGAUGCUGAACGACUGUGAUUAGUAUGUGUAAUACCCCUCCGACGUGUUGGAUCGGGAUCGUUGAUUCAUGAUCGCGCGGCUCGGAACAGAUCGGGCUUCAUAAAAUCUAAGCCGUCCAUUUAAGAUCCGAGGGUCCCGAGCCCAUACCGGUUCACUUGGAUCAGGAUCUGAUCUCGUCCCUUGAUUCCGGAUCGGGUGGCCCUUGUUGGCCGAUACCCCUUCGGGUGCGACAUUAGCAUAUGAGCCCUCGGGUGUUUUAAUAAUUGAACCUGCCAUCCCUUAGUUAUGGGGGGGUUGCGUCCAGGUCCCUAGAAAUGACACAAUCACCCCUGAAGUAUAUUUUAGGCAUAAAAAGUAUAUAAAAAUGAAUAAAAACUUAGAUAAUUCAUAUCUUGAUCAUUUUAACUCCAAUUUGAUCCAUUCUAGUUGUGCUAAUCUCCCAUUAAUGUUGUUUAUCAUCUAUUAACUUUAUUUUGUUAGGAAAUCUAGGGUGAAAUUAUGCAAUUAAUUUCUUUUGUACCCAACGCUUAAAUCUUCAGAAAAUCAUAACUUUAUAAUCGUAACUCCGAAUUUAGUGAUUCUCGAACCUACGGUAUCGUAGCAUCACGUAGAAUAUUAUUAUGCAGUUUGUGCUUAUGUUUGGUGUGAUGUUAAUUUUACCUAUACCAUGUUUGUUUGUAUUGCUACGAAUAACAGUGAGGCACGAGAAUCUGAAGAUCAUCCUGAUACCUGGAAUCUCGAGUCCCAGGCAAGUUGUGCCCUUGAUCACUCCUUUUUACCUAAUAAUGUUCCUGUUAAUCAUUGUGACAUGCUUAGGUUAAUUUUAUGGGACCUAAUAGGUUUUCCCUAGCAUUGUUUUCCCCCCACCUUGCAAACAGAUGAAUUAUUGGGUAGAUUUGCUAUUGCUUUACCUGGUUUUGGGAAACUAAUGUUUCAUCAUGAUAAUGUUCCAAUUAUGUUGUUGUUUAACUAUUGUUUAUGAUAAGAUCAUAUUGUUAAUUGGAACAUGGAAAACCACCCGGGAAAACAGUGCUACCACAAGGGUGGAAUGGGACGCCCUUGGCCAACUAAUUAGAAAAGCUAGGGAGAGAUUACCUUACCCGGGUAGGCAUCGCUGCUAGAGUAUAGGGAGGUCCUCGGGUCGAACUGUCUGUAAAGCUUUUCGGACGAGAGAUUCCUAUGCUUCCUUUG
rnacentral:lncRNA from 1 species